rnacentral:rRNA from 1 species
UACGGGGGGGGGCAAGCGUUGUUCGGAUUCACUGGGCGUAAAGGGUGCGUAGGUGGCCAGGUAAGUUCGGUGUGAAAGCUCGGAGCUUAACUCCGAAAUGGCAUUGAAUACUAUCUGGCUAGAGGGUCGGAGGGGAGACUGGAAUUCUCGGUGUAGCAGUGAAAUGCGUAGAUAUCGAGAGGAACACCAGUGGCGAAGGCGAGUCUCUGGACGACUCCUGACACUGAGGCACGAAAGCCAAGGGGAGCAAACGGGAU